GUCCGCAAGGACAAUUUGACAAUUGACCUCAAAUCAGGUAUGAACAGGCCCGAUGUCUC
rnacentral:rRNA from 1 species